rnacentral:tRNA from 1 species
GCCGAGGUGGCGAAAUUGGUAGACGCAAGGGACUUAAAAUCCCUCGAUUAUUUAUAAUCGUGCCGGUUCGAUUCCGGCCCUCGGUA